AUUGAAUGCUGGCGGCAUGCUUUACACAUGCAAGUCGAACGGUAACAGGGUGCUUGCACCGCUGACGAGUGGCGAACGGGUGAGUAAUGCGUCGGAACGUGCCGAGUAGUGGGGGAUAACGCAGCGAAAGUUGUGCUAAUACCGCAUACGUACUGAGGUAGAAAGUGGGGGACCUUCGGGCCUCACGCUAUUCGAGCGGCUGACGUCUGAUUAGCUAGUAGGUGAGGUAAAGGCUCACCUAGGCGACGAUCAGUAGCGGGUCUGAGGGGAUGAUCCGCCACACUGGGACUGAGACACGGCCCAGACUCCUACGGGAGGCAGCAGUGGGGAAUUUUGGACAAUGGGCGAAAGCCUGAUCCAGCCAUGCCGCGUGUCUGAAGAAGGCCUUCGGGUUGUAAAGGACUUUUGUCAGGGAGGAAAUCCCUAGUGCUAAUAACACUGGGGGAUGACAGUACCUGAAGAAUAAGCACCGGCUAACUACGUGCCAGCCGCCGCCGUAA
rnacentral:rRNA from 1 species